GACGGAGGAUGCAAGCGUUAUCCGGAAUUAUUGGGCGUAAAGCGUCCGCAGGUGGACAUACAAGUCUGCUGUCAAAAGUGCAGAGCUUAACUCUGUAAAGGCGGUGGAAACUGUAGGUCUUGAGUAUGGUAGGGGUAGAGGGAAUUCCCGGUGUAGCGGUGAAAUGCGUAGAUAUCGGGAAGAACACCAGUGGCGAAAGCGCUCUACUGGGCCAUAACUGACACUGAGGGACGAAAGCUAGGGGAGCGAAAGGG
rnacentral:rRNA from 1 species